UAUCUCAUGUCUUUUAUCAUAGCCCUUUGAGGGGCCUGUCAGAAACCUUGGCAUCAGUCUUAGUAUCUGUACUCUCAGCGUUCCUUGCCCUGGCGCCGAUGCCAUGGAACUUUUAACUCGGCAGCUCAGACAGGUAUCAGAAUGGCAACUCUUUUUCGAAGCAUCCGGUCAGAUGUCUUUUCAGGUCUUGUUCUGAGCUGUAUGGACAGCUGCACCCUGCAAGGUUCUGUUAUGAUGGAUUAGGACUUGUAAGAAUGUGGGGACAGGUAGAGGCUUCUGACCGUAGGAUUCUCGGGCAUCCAUCUUUGCAGUUCUUGGAAUAAAUAAUUCAGUUAGCAUCUUGUUCCUCCAGGGUUCUCUGAACUUCAUCAGCACGCCAUCAGUUUCACCUCAGUCCUCUAAUUUUGCGUCCUCUCGGUGCUCGCUGUCAUUUUCCUUACCCAGAGAUUUCUGUUCCUGUUGUGUCCCCGUUGUUUGUCCUGUCCUGUGUCACGGGUGUCUGCACACAUUUGUGCUGGAGCUGCUCUGCCUUGCUGCAUAGCCUGGUGCAAUAGGAGAAGUCCCGGGGACUUGAUGUUUGUAAUGUGGGGUGUCGUUGGACUCUAGGUGGGAUUUGUAGAUGGGCACAAGAUGUCUGGAGCUCUUAAGUUAUCCUGCAGCUCUUUGAUUUUUGUCCUUUCUUUCAGGUGCAGAAGGAUGAAAUCCAGGGCAGAGCCCCUCAUCCCGGGUGAGGGGAUUCCCCCGAGCAGGAAGUCAAGGCCAAGUGGGCGAGGUGGUCCACUUGCCAUCUAUCCUGGCCGGGCAUGCCCAUUCCAGCUGUGUGCAGCUUAAGGUGCGGUCGCUGCCCUAGGCAUGCCAAGGAACAGAGGAGGGCAGGUAUCUUCUGGGCACCCUCUGGAGUCAAAUCAAGAUUUGAGGUACCCUUAGGAGCCUCGUAGCCAAAGGUUGGAAACGACAGCACCGAGGCACACACGGAGCAUGUUUCAACAUCCACGUCGGACCAAGGAUGGAUUUUGUCUGCUCCUUUUCCAAAAGCUAAGUGUCGGGGCCAGCAGUUGGGAGAAGGGGAAAAACCUUUACUAUCACAGAGGGCAAUUUGAUGUCAGCUUAGCGGAGAGGUCUGUAGUGGGACCAGCUCUCUGGAAGAAAAGGGAGAGGAUUUCUCCUCAGCCUGACCAGAGCCUUUGCCGGGCAGGGCAGUUCCGACCCAUCUCAGGAUUCUCGUGAACUUUGCAUCGUCCGCCUUCCUCGGCCCGACGUCGUCACGGAUCUUUCCCCCGAGGAGCUCGCCUUCACGUCCGGAGCUAUAGCCACGGUCACCUGGCCGUCGGCUUCCUUCUCUAGGCUUGCUGAGCCUCUCGAGCAUCCUCUUAACUGCUGUGGCACUAACUUCUUUUAACGAGUUACAUUUCAUCAUCACGUGCUAUUGUCAUAGGGCUUCCUCUCCUUUGGCAUCAUCAGCCUCUGGCACAUCUUGCGCUAGGCAUCUCGGGUGCCUAAGGGGACAGUGCCAGGCAGUUGCCACUUGUCUCUGUGUUAUGUCACCCGUGUCUGUGUUGUCCGUGUCUGUGUUGUCCGUGUCUGUGUUGUCCGUGUCUGUGUUGUCCGUGUCUGUGUUGUCCGUGUCUGUGUUGUCCGUUGUCUUCCACGUCAUAGGCCUUUGUUACGUCUCAAUGCUUUAUUGGCACUAUUCUGUGCCGUAUAGGCUGUAUUCUACUCACGUUCCUUUCUGGAUAUCCCUUAUUCUGGCAUCUUUACAUUUUUACUCUUUGAGACAGGAAUGUCUCAAACGGACAAGAUGUUCUCAUCCAUCUUCCUUCUCACUACCAGCUUUGGUAGUGCCUUUUUUUCCAUGCCAUUUUCUUGGACUGCUAGAGGGAGUGUCUUGCACCCUCCUCAUGUGACUGCAGUACUUCUAUAGGUUCCAUCUUCUGAAGGGUAUAGGACUCAAGAAUUCAUCUUCCAGCGAGUUAUCUCAAGUCCUGGCUUAUAUUGCGUGUACCUGUGCUGACUUAUACUGUAUGUACCUACCCUCUAUGUACACUUGCACUGUAUGCAUCGACUUACAUUGUUGUGUGUACUUAUAUUGUACCACUUAUGGUUGGAGCUGCCCUGCCCGGGCACGUAGUCACAGUCAGGUAGAAGAGUUAUAAAAACUUUACUGUUCAUCUGUCUUUUAUGGGAUUUUGGGUAGAAAACUUAUUGGUUCAGAGUGGAGACAAGUCCUAGCUGUCAGAUAGCCACUCGUUGACCGCUUCCUGUCGUCUCACAGGUCCCCAAGGCUACCGAUUUCCCCAGAACCUACCAACUGACGUCAAGGAGCGCAGCCAGAAGAUGUGUCGCAGCACGUUCUUCAGCGUCUCGAGUAAGGGCCGCAGCGAGCGUGGUGAGCACAGGGUGAACUCUCUCCUCCUUGCUGUGACACCUGGGCUGGCAGGGAUGACACAGUGACCUCGGCCGGCCGAUGCUGCCUGUGCCAUCACCUGGCACUGACGUGUUUGAUGAAAAUCCUUUUGCUGGGAUUUUUCUCCUGAGAAGCCUCAGAACAGAAAUGGAACCAAUUACGAUCUGCUGGCUGUGGAGUGUGGGCUGGAGAUGGUUUAGCAACAGGGGCAUCUUGGAUUAGUCUCCUGUGCAGUGUCUACUUGAUGACCAAUCAUGGUCCAGCUGCGUCGGGGCUGUGAGCAGUCCCAGGUUUUUAUUAUUCAUUCCUUUCCAGCUUUCUGAUGUCUCCUUGCUCUUUUAGUAUAGUUCUACUAUCUCAUUUUCUUUUAAUAUAAUAGAGAUCAUAAAAUAAUAUUUCAGCCUUCUGA